rnacentral:rRNA from 1 species
GACGAACGCUGGCGGCGCGCUUAACACAUGCAAGUCGAACGGAAAGGCCUGCUUUCCCUUGUGGAUUGCGGGUACUCGAGUGGCGAACGGGUGAGUAACACGUGAGUGAUCUGCCCCCAACUUGGGUAUAAGCCUGGGAAACUGGGUCUAAUUCCCGAUAGGACUGCAGGGUGGUGCCUGUGGUGGAAAACGAUUUUCUAGUGGUUGGGGAUGAGCUCGCGGCCUAUCAGCUUGUUGGUGGGGUAAUGGCCUACCAAGGCGGCGACGGGUAGCCGGCCUGAGAGGGUGGACGGCCACAUUGGGACUGCGAUACGGCCCAGACUCCUACGGGAGGCAGCAGUGGGGAAUAUUGCGCGAUGGGCGGAAGCCUGAUGCAGCGACGCCGCGUGGGGGAUGACGGCCUUCGGGUUGUAAUCUCCUUGCGACCGCGAGGAAGCCACCUGGUUGGAAGGGUGGUGACGGUAGUGGUAGAAGAAGCACCGGCUAACUACGUG